rnacentral:lncRNA from 1 species
CUUGGAGUUUUCUGGGAGAGGCCUCUUCAAGGGCGUCCUUGAAGCCCAGCCAUGGAUGUCCCUGUGGUUGGGAAAGGGGAGCUCAGGGUAAUGGAGUAUCCUCAAGAACCUGCAGAUAUUACCUCCCUCCAGAACCGUGGUCUCAGCCCUGGCUGCAUAUUCCUUCAACGGGAGGGCUUUAGAAAUGCUGUGCCAGAGCUGCACCCCAGACCAACAAAAUCAGACUCUCCAGGAUGCGGCCAAGGCAUCAGUAUGUGGAAAGCUUUCAGGAAAACUGAGCAAAAUGAAAGCCAAUUCAAAGAAGAAGGAAUUAAGUACAUAAUUGUGCAGAUGAUACAUGGAAAUGGUAAGAAUGGUGACAAUGGGACGUAAGUGACUGAAAUUUGGGAUACAUUGGAUUAGAAGAAAAUAAGCCCCCAAGAAACCGGAAUAAGUCUGGAGGGCAGCAAGAGUGACUGUCCAGCUAAGAACCUCAUCAGCAAUACAAAACAUUGUCACAGAUGUUGAAACAGACCCUGAGGUUAAUGCAUUCUUUCCAACAUUAGGUCCUAAAACUUCUCCUGAAAAGCUACCUUAAAUCUAACUUUUGAAAGUGCACAAUAAAGGUGAAUUAAAUAAAAGCAACUUGAAAUUUUUA